rnacentral:misc_RNA from 1 species
AAAGUGCGAUAUGUAGUGCGAUUUGCAUGAAUCUGUGAGUCAUUGAAUAUUUGAACGCAACUUGCGCCUCGUUGAGGCAUGUCUGUUUGAGUGCGGGAUAAACAAUGCGGUAAGCGCGAUGUGACCACUGUCAGUUGGACAGGGUUUAAAAGCAGGAUAGUUGCCAGCAUGGGCUGGCCCAAGUGCUAAGCAAUCUUGGGACUAGGCAAUGCAGGUGAUUGGUGUGGGUGGGAUGGGGUAGUUUGCUAUCUUGUCCUUUUGUGCUUUCCACCUCCCACACACCUCUAUCACCGCCUCAAAUCAGGCAAGACCACCCGCUGAACUUAA